UGCGGUAACGCGAUGGACCCGGGAGAAGCCGGCGGAGGCCCCAGGGAGAGUUCUCUUUUUGGUGUGUAGGGCAGGGCGCCCAGGAAUGGCUUCGCCCCGAGAGAGAGGCCCCUGCCUUGGAAAGCGUCGAGGUUCCGGCGACGUCUGGUGAGCGCCCGCUGGCCCUUGGACAAAAAAAACCCGGGGAGAGU
rnacentral:ncRNA from 1 species